GGGCGGUUAGCUCAGCGGGAGAGCAUCGGCCUUACAAGCCGGGGGUCGCUGGUUCGAUCCCAGCACCGCCCA
rnacentral:tRNA from 1 species